rnacentral:rRNA from 1 species
UAGGGAAUCUUCCACAAUGGACGCAAGUCUGAUGGAGCAACGGCCGCGUGAGUGAAGAAGGUUUUCGGACCGUAAAGCUCUGUUGUUGGUGAAGAAGGAUAGAGGUAGUAACUGGCCUUUAUUUGACGGUAAUCAACCAGAAAGUCACGGCUAACUACGUGCCAGCAGCCGCGGUAAUACGUAGGUGGCAAGCGUUGUCCGGAUUUAUUGGGCGUAAAGCGAGCGCAGGCGGAAGAAUAAGUCUGAUGUGAAAGCCCUCGGCUAACCGAGGAAUUGCAUCGGAAACUGUUUUUCUUGAGUGCAGAAGAGGAGAGUAGAACUCCAUGUGUAGCGGUGGAAUGCGUAGAUAUAUGGAAGAAUACCAGUGGCGAAGGCGGCUCUCUGGUCUGCAACUGACGCUGAGGCUCGAAAGCAUGGGUAGCGAACAGGAUUAGAUACCCUUGGU